rnacentral:lncRNA from 1 species
UGUCUCUUCCCAUUAAAAUCCAAUCUCUAUAAAGUAAAAGAUGUGUCUCGGUCACUGCUUUAUCCCCAGGGCUCUGAACUUCGCAACACAUAGUGAUCGCUUCACAAAUGCUGGCUGAAAGAAGGUGUGAACAGCCUACCCCAAGGUAGCAUGGCUGGUGCAGGACAGGAGACAGAAGGGCUCCGGUGCCCUGUCCUGACAUCUGAUGUCAUCUGCAAGUGUCCAGCUCCUUCUUUAUGGAAGGGGGCGACAGAAUUGCUGACAAACGGCGGUGUUGUCUCAUCGGCAGGUCUUUCUCUCCCUUGUCGGAAGAUUACACGUGAGAGGCAGAGAGAGAAAGUGAAGAGCACAUCUCUGGAAUGGACCAGGCAAAGCAGAAUCAGCAAGCCGGGAGGGAGCAACACGGGCUGGCGUAGGCGACACCGUCAGCAGAGUAGAAGGGAAAUGUCAAGAUCACUAAGUGUUGAAGCAUUUUGA